AAAGAGAAGAACUGCAUCCUUUUUACUGCGCUUUUUCCACGUCUUUCCUGGGCUUAGGGCCCUCCUCAGAGGCCAGAGGGGAGAGCAGAUUACAUUAUCAAAAGCACCAAGUUGAAACAUUUGCAAGGAAAAUAUCUUUUCUGGGAUUGGAGUCACUAUUUUGAGCCUUUCACAGGUGUGCAUCAUUUCACAAUUAUUGGCAAUGGUUCAAUGGUUUCAUCUGCUUUGAAUGGUUUCUUCUCUUCAUUAAGAGGCCGAAGACCAUUUGGACACACUUCUAUCAAAUCCUGGCAGUCUCCUUCUAACAGAUGAAGAAAGACAUGUUUGCUUCCCCAUCUGCCAUGACUGUAAGUUUCCUGAGGCUUCGCCAGCCAUGCUGAACUAUGUCAGUUUUAAGACUUGAGAAGUGAAAAACAAAGAGGGAAAAGAUAAAUACUGCUGAAUUCCAGCUACAUGGAAAGGUGACUGACAGAGUGGUUCCCCAAGGAAGGCAUUAACUAGCACAGAAGUAGACACAGCAUGUGCAUGAAGCCAGAGUGCUCCAGACUUGCCACAAGGUUUAGAAGUGAAUUUCAAAUUCCAAGAGUUGUUUUCUUUGAGGUGCUUCGAGGGAUUUGAUGAGAGAGAAAACUUUCGACUACAGGUUUGUAAAA